rnacentral:rRNA from 1 species
AUUGAACGCUGGCGGCAUGCCUUACACAUGCAAGUCGAACGGUAACAGGUCUUCGGAUGCUGACGAGUGGCGAACGGGUGAGUAAUACAUCGGAACGUGCCCGAGAGUGGGGGAUAACGGAGCGAAAGCUUUGCUAAUACCGCAUACGAUCUACGGAUGAAAGCAGGGGACCGCAAGGCCUUGCGCUCAUGGAGCGGCCGAUGGCAGAUUAGGUAGUUGGUGGGAUAAAAGCUUACCAAGCCGACGAUCUGUAGCUGGUCUGAGAGGACGACCAGCCACACUGGGACUGAGACACGGCCCAGACUCCUACGGGAGGCAGCAGUGGGGAAUUUUGGACAAUGGGCGCAAGCCUGAUCCAGCCAUGCCGCGUGCAGGAUGAAGGCCUUCGGGUUGUAACUGCUUUUGUACGGAACGAAAGACUCCUUCUAAUAAAGGGGUCCAUGACGGUACCGUAAGAAUAAGCACCGGCUAACUACGUGCCAGCAGCCGAC